ACUUCUUUGCAUCAUCAGCACAUGCUUCAGUGCUCUGAGAGAGUUUAUAGUGCUGUGAGUUUAACACUUCAUGACUGAGAGCAGAACAGAACACAAUCUUCAUCAUCACACAAGACACAACAACAACAAUGAACAACAUCAUCAUCCUCAUCUGGACUCUCACACUGCUUGCUCAAGAGAGUAGAGGACAGUACACUGUAACUCAGAGUCCAUCAAUAACAGCAGCUCAACCAGGACAAGAAGUCAGAAUAAACUGUAAAACCAGCAGUUCAGUGUAUGCUAAUAAUCGUUUAGCCUGGUAUUUACAGAAACCUGGAGAAGCUCCUAAACUCCUCAUAUAUUUUGCAACAAGCCGUUUCACUGGAACUCCAUCUAGAUUCAGUGGCAGUGGAUCUAACAGUGAUUUCACUCUGACCAUCAGUGGAGUCCAGACUGAAGAUACAGGACAUUAUUACUGUCAGAGUGCUCACUGUCCUAGUAGUUGUGUGUUCACACAGUGAUAAAGAGUCGUACAAAAACCUCCGUCAGUCAGAGUCACAGUGACUGCACUGAUACAGCUGAGAGAUACUGCAGCUGCUGAUGGAUGACAACACAAAUAUUAUAGCAAAAAUUUGAGAGAUUUAAUACAAUAUUUAUUCAUUUAUUAACUUACUACAUUUAUUUAAUAGGUGUAUACAUUACAUUAUAUCAUCAAUCAUUAAUUGUGUGAUCAUUGUAAAGUGUAGCCAGUAUUUAUUUGUCUUAUUCAUCUAAAUCAACGAAUAGAAGAACUAUCAAACAGAUCACACACCGAGGCCUGAUGUGACUCACAUGACAGUAUGAACUUCAAAAACAAUGAAUAAAAUGGAAAUUUUCCCCAGGUCACCACAUGUUCAUAAUAUGACUAGUGUUCUGUUUCUGCAGGUAUUGACAUUGUUAAUGUUUAUCUGUAAAAUAUAAGCUAAA